GGCCGCGGGAAUUCGAUUACAGUUUGAUCCUGGCUCAGGAUGAACGCUAGCGGGAGGCUUAACACAUGCAAGUCGAGCGGCAGCACGGACUUCGGUCUGGUGGCGAGCGGCGCACGGGUGCGUAACGCGUAUGCAACCUGCCUUAUACAGGGGGAUAGCCCAUGGAAACGUGGAUUAAUACCCCAUAACAUUAUGAAUUCGCAUGGAUUUAUAAUUAAAAUUCCGAUGGUAUAAGAUGGGCAUGCGUCUGAUUAGCUAGUUGGUGAGGUAACGGCUCACCAAGGCGACGAUCAGUAGGGGUUCUGAGAGGAUUAUCCCCCACACUGGUACUGAGACACGGACCAGACUCCUACGGGAGGCAGCAGUGAGGAAUAUUGGUCAAUGGGCGCGAGCCUGAACCAGCCAUCCCGCGUGCAGGAUGACGGCCCUAUGGGUUGUAAACUGCUUUUCUACGCCAAGAAACGGCCCUACGUGUAGGGCACUGACGGUAGCGUAGGAAUAAGCAUCGGCUAACUCCGUGCCAGCAGCCGCGGUAAUACGGAGGAUGCAAGCGUUAUCCGGAUUCAUUGGGUUUAAAGGGUGCGCAGGCGGGAAAGUAAGUCAGUGGUGAAAAACUGCCGCUCAACGGUAGUCGUGCCAUUGAUACUGCUUUUCUUGAGUUUGGAUGAGGUAGGCGGAAUGUGCAGUGUAGCGGUGAAAUGCAUAGAGAUUGCACAGAACACCAAUUGCGAAGGCAGCUUACUAAUCCACGACUGACGCUG
rnacentral:rRNA from 1 species